rnacentral:rRNA from 1 species
UACAGAGGGUGCAAGCGUUAAUCGGAAUUACUGGGCGUAAAGCGUGCGUAGACGGUUAUGUAAGUCGGGUGUGAAAGCCCCGGGCUCAACCUGGGAAUGCCAUUCGAGACUGCAUAGCUAGGGUGCGGAAGAGGGAAGCGGAAUUUCCGGUGUAGCGGUGAACUGCGUAGAUAUCGGAAGGAACACCAGUGGCGAAAGCGGCUUCCUGGUCCAGCACAGACGUUCAGGCACGAAAGCGUGGGGAGCAAACAGG